ACUCAAAGGAAUAGACGGGGGCCCGCACAAGCGGUGGAGUAUGUGGCUUAAUUCGAUGCAACGCGAAGAACCUUACCUGGGCUUGACAUGCAUCGCUAAGUCGGUGAAAGCCGGCGAUUCCCGCAAGGGAAACUUUGCACAGGUGCUGCAUGGCUGUCGUCAGCUCGUGUCGUGAGAUGUUGGGUUAAGUCCCGCAACGAGCGCAACCCUCGUGGCCUGUUGCUUCUGCUCCGCAAGGAGCAAGCACUUUGGUCAGACUGCCCUGUGAAACGGGGAGGAAGGUGGGGAUGACGUCAAGUCAGCAUGGCCCUUACGUCCAGGGCUGCACACGUACUACAAUGCCCAGCACAGAACGAGCCGAAGCCGCGAGGCGGAGGAAAUCACCAAAACUGGGCACAGUUCGGAUCGCAGGCUGCAACUCGCCUGCGUGAAGCUGGAAUCGCUAGUAAUGCCGUAUCAGCUACGACGGCGUGAAUACGUUCCCGGGCCUUGUACACACCGCCCGU
rnacentral:rRNA from 1 species